CGACCCCGGCUGGAUUUGAACCUGCAAUCUUCUGCUACGCAGGCAUACGCGUUAUCCAUAGCGCCACAUGUCC